GCCUAACACAUGCAAGUCGAACGCUUUUCGUCUCCUUCGGGGGGCGAAGGGAGUGGCGAACGGGUGCGUAACACGUGAGCGACCUGCCCUUAUCCGGGGGAUAACCGUGGGAAACCGCGGCUAAUACCGCAUGGGCCCAGGGGCUGCAUGGCUCUUGGGUGAAAGGUCUUCGGGCCGGGUAGGGAGGGGCUCGCGGCGUAUCAGCUAGCUGGUGGGGUAAUGGCCCACCAGGGCGACGACGCGUAGCCGGUCUGAGAGGAUGAUCGGCCACAUUGGGACUGAGAUACGGCCCAGACUCCUACGGGAGGCAGCAGUGGGGAAUCUUGCGCAAUGGGCGAAAGCCUGACGCAGCGACGCCGCGUGCGGGAGGACGGCCUUCGGGUUGUAAACCGCUGUCAGAGGGGACGAAGGUGCAGCGAUGCAUUUGACGGUACCCUCAGAGGAAGCACCGGCUAACUCCGUGCCAGCAGCCGCGGUAAUACGGAGGGUGCGAGCGUUGUUCGGAAUUACUGGGCGUAAAGCGCGCGCAGGCGGCGUCGUAAGUCUACCUGUCCAAUGCCGGGGCUCAACCCCGUGCGUGCAGGAGAUACUGGCAUGCUGGAGACAUGCAGAGGCAGAUGGAAUUCCGGGUGUAGCGGUGGAUGCGUAGAGAUCCGGAAGAACACCGGUGGCGAAGGCGGUCUGCUGGGCAUGGUCUGACGCUGAGGCGCGAAGGCGUGGGGAGCGAACAGGAUUAGAUACCCUGGUAGUCCACGCGGUAAACGAUGGGCACUAGACGUGGGGGGGAUCGACCCCAUCCGUGUCGCAGCUAACGCGUGAAGUGCCCCGCCUGGGGAGUACGGCCCAAGGCUGAAACUCAAAGGAAUUGACGGGGGCCCGCACAAGCGGUGGAGCAUGUGGUUUAAUUCGAAGCAACGCGAAGAACCUUACCCGGGUUUGACAUGCACGUGAAAGUCUCGUGAAAGCGGGAGCCUCCUUCGGGACACGUGCACAGGUGCUGCAUGGCUGUCGUCAGCUCGUGUCGUGAGAUGUUGGGUUAAGUCCCGCAACGAGCGCAACCCUUGCCGACUGUUGCUAACAGGGCUAAAGCUGAUGGGGACUCUCUCGGGACUGCCGGUGACAAACCGGAGGAAGGUGGGGACGACGUCAAGUCAUCAUGGUCCUUACGCCCGGGGCUACACACGUGCUACAAUGGCCGGGACAAACCGAAGCGAGGCCGCGAGGCGGAGCGAAUCGGAAAAACCCGGUCUAAGUUCGGAUUGCAGUCUGCAACUCGACUGCAUGAAGCUGGAAUCGCUAGUAAUCGUGGGUCAGCUACACCACGGUGAAUACGUUCCCGGGCCUUGUACACACCGCCCGUCACGCCAUGGAAGUUGGGAGCGCCCGAAGUCCGUGACCGAACCCUUCGGGGACGGAGCGGCCGAAGGCGAGCUCGAUGACUGGGGCGAAGUCGUAACAAGGUAGCCGUAGGGGAACCUGCGGCUGGAUCACCUCCUU
rnacentral:rRNA from 1 species